GGUAAAAUGACUGAAGUGUAGGUGAUGAAUUGUAAAUUUAUUUAUGAGUGUAAUCUCUUUUACCA
rnacentral:tRNA from 1 species